rnacentral:rRNA from 1 species
UACGAACCGUACAAACGUUAUUCGGAAUCACUGGGCUUAAAGGGUGCGUAGGCGGCCAUGUAAGUGAGGUGUGAAAACCCGGGGCUCAACCCCGGGCCUGCAUUCGAUACGGGCAGACUAGAGUUCGGUAGGGGAGUCUGGAAUUCCUGGUGUAGCGGUGGAAUGCGCAGAUAUCAGGAGGAACACCGGUGGCGAAGGCGGGACUCUGGGCCGAUACUGACGCUGAGGAGCGAAAGCGUGGGGAGCAAACAGG